GAUCAUGGCUCAGGACGAACGCUGGCGGCGUGCUUAACACAUGCAAGUCGAGCGAUGAAGUCCUUCGGGAAUGGAUUAGCGGCGGACGGGUGAGUAACACGUGGGUAACCUGCCUCAUAGAGGGGAACAGCCUUCCGAAAGGAAGAUUAAUACCGCAUAAGAUUGUAGUUUCGCAUGAAACAGCAAUUAAAGGAGUAAUCCGCUAUGAGAUGGACCCGCGUCGCAUUAGCUAGUUGGUGAGGUAACGGCUCACCAAGGCGACGAUGCGUAGCCGACCUGAGAGGGUGAUCGGCCACAUUGGGACUGAGACACGGCCCAGACUCCUACGGGAGGCAGCAGUGGGGAAUAUUGCACAAUGGGGGAAACCCUGAUGCAGCAAACCGCCGCGUGAGUGAUGACGGUCUUCGGAUCGUAAAGCUCUGUCUUCAGGGACGAUAAUGACGGUACCUGAGGAGGAAGCCACGGCUAACUACGUGCCAGCCGCUGC
rnacentral:rRNA from 1 species